rnacentral:lncRNA from 1 species
UUUUUAUUUAUUUGAAUUCUGGUGCUUGAGGAAAGUCAAUUCAUCUAGCAGAGACAAAAAGGAAGCUUAUGUGGUCCUCUUGAAAGAUAUUUUCUGCGGUCUCGCAGAAGAGGAACUCCCAUGUGGGAGAGAAGUGGCAGACUUCUCCCUGAGGGGCAUAGCGGUGGGGACCACACAGCUGGAAGAAUCGUGCAGAACGCACAGCGCUUCACCUUCGACAGCACUUCCCAGGCUACAGGCUGCUUUAGAGGCAGACCUCAUGGCCUUGUGGAGCCUCUCAACUUUCAAGCAAAUGCUGCAAGAAGUCAGACUCAGGUCUCAAACUCCUUUGGAAGGGGCUGGAGAUGCACUAGCUGCAUUGAGCCAUAUGAAAAAGGAACUUUACAAAUAAAGCAAAAAGUACUCCAAGAUUUUCCACAUCUCCAACAGGCCUCCAAAAAGACUAUAGAACUUCAUAAAGCAUUAGAGAA